GAAAUAGCUUUAGGGCUAGCCUCAAGUGAUGAUUAUUGGAGGUAGAGCACUGUUUGGACGAGGGGCCCCUCUCGGGUUACCGAAUUCAGACAAACUCCGAAUGCCAAUCAAUUUAACUUGGGAGUCAGAACAUGGGUGAUAAGGUCCGUGUUCGAAAGGGAAACAGCCCAGACCACCAGCUAAGGUCCCAAAAUAUAUGUUAAGUGGAAAAGGAUGUGGCGUUGCCCAGACAACUAGGAUGUUGGCUUAGAAGCAGCCAUCAUUUAAAGAGUGCGUAAUAGCUCACUAGUCGAGUGACACUGCGCCGAAAAUGUACCGGGGCUAAACAUAUUACCGAAGCUGUGGAUUGUCCUUUGGACAAUGGUAGGAGAGCGUUCUAAGGGCGUCGAAGUAUGAUCGCAAGGACAUGUGGAGCGCUUAGAAGUGAGAAUGCCGGUGUGAGUAGCGAAAGACGGGUGAGAAUCCCGUCCACCGAUUGACUAAGGUUUCCAGAGGAAGGCUCGUCCGCUCAGGGUUAGUCGGGUCCUAA
rnacentral:rRNA from 1 species